rnacentral:rRNA from 1 species
GACGAACGCUGGCGGCGUGCCUAAUACAUGCAAGUAGGACGCAGUUGCGAACGGGUGAGUAACGCGUAGGUAACUACCUAUUAGAGGGGGAUAACUCUUGGAAACGAUAGCUAUACCGCAUACGAGUGGAAUGACCUGCGUUGUUUUAGCUAGUAGGUAGGGUAAUGGCCUACCUAGGCAAGGAUACAUAGCCGACCUGAGAGGGUGAUCGGCCACACUGGGACUUAGACACGGCCCAGACUCCUACGGGAGGCAGCAGUAGGGAAUCUUCGGCAAUGGGGGGAAACCUGACCGAGCAACGCCGCGUGAGUGAAGAAGGUUUUCGGAUCGUAAAGCUCUGUUGUUAAGGAAGCGGUACUUAACCAGAAAGGGACGGCUAACUCCGUGCCAGCAGCCGCGGUAAUUC